AGGUUUCGCUUGCCACUUUGAUGUUCCUUUUGGAUAAUUUUGCCCUUCUAUUGUUGGUUUUUGGUUAUUUGUUUUGUUGCGUGAAAUGGGGAUUUUACUGCUUCUACUUAGAGGGGUAUGUGGCAAAAGGGGCUGGACAUUUGUCUUUGGGUGGAGCAGUGUAUAUCUAUUAUCAUAGGAGAAAAGAGAGAGAUAGAGAGAGAGGCUGUGUUAGAGAGAGUGGUUUUGGCAAUUGCUGCUUCUCGGAUUUCCGCCGUUUGUGUCUCGGAUUUUCGCUGUUUGCUUUGGUCUGUUCGGUUGCUGCGGUCUUGCUAUACCUUUCGCUGUUGGUAAGAGGUUAAACUCUGCUUGGGACUUUUGUAUACUUUAGUGUUGCAGAAAUAUUCGCUUGUACUGGCUUUGAUUGGGGCUUGUAUGGUUAUGCGAUGGAGCCCUCACACCAGCUAUUUCCAUUUUUCUUGUUGUUUCUGGAGUGGAGCUUGCUAUGUCAAAACAGCAUCAUAAAUAAUCCAAGGAGGGAACAAUGACUCCUCAACCUCCGGCACAGCUUUUUUGACGGGCAAUCGAGACUCUGGCUCAUCCGAACGGUGUACCGUGGUGUCCUUGCACGUUCUUGGUUAGCAUUUUUCGUUCUAGCACC